UGAUCUACACUCAUCCCAGUCAUCAUCCUUCUGUCACCUGAUGCUGGAGUCAAGCAGGAGACGAGGCAAAAGGUGGAGAACGAUUUAACCUGGGCCACCUGGUGAAGCCCUUGCAAAGUCUACAGCAGAGGUCAGACCUUCUGAGCAGCAAGGAGCAGCGAGUCCUGGGCCCCGUCACUUGGACCAUCACUGACAGCAGCUCUGGUCCAGAGCAUUCAGGAGGGGGCCGAAUGAUGCAGGAGAAACAGGGUAACAUGCUGUAUGAUGACUCACCGUGGCAGACUUAUAAUCACUUUUUAACGAGGUGAAUAUGUUCUUCUCCACUCAGCACAGGAAGUAAAGGAAUCAAAUGAGAAAGCCGGGAGCUCUAUGAAGAGAAAUGAGAAAGGU
rnacentral:lncRNA from 9 species